UUCCCCUGUUCUUAUGUCAAUACGUGAUCUUCAAUUGAUUCUGUUCCAUAUAACCUUCAACCAUUCUUCAAUCGAUCCCGGAUCCAUAUGAUUUCCUGCAUAUUCAAGCACUAGCUAUGGACGUAUAGAGUGAGUAGGCGACACGUGUUUAUGACGUUGUGGCGAGCGACUAAAAGGGUAGAAAACUAGGACCAAAUUUGAGAUACCAUUGGUGUUCUCGUUGUCUACAUCUACGAUAAAGAAAUGAGAUAAGAGAAAUCCAACGGCUGUAGUAUUAACACGAGCAAUAAGGGUCAUGUGGUGACUUCAGUAGGGGAACUAUUUUGUAUUACUCUUCCGAUGGCGAUAAGAUUGAAGGUGAAGCCUAUCAAUACAACUAAUCAAGCAACUGAACGUAACUAUGUAGAAGUCGAAUUGAAUCUUGGUGGUCCUUUGAAAAAUAGGAGAAAAAUCUAUCUGUACACGUUAUUCAUUCAAUGUAAUUACUACUUACGCUUUAUGUUUGUUAUGUUGGUGGAUUUUACAUCUUUUUAUAUUUUUUAUCA